UCUCGUACAUAGUACAUUCUCGUCUCUGUCUCAACUCAACUCAACUCUCAAGUGAAUAAUGUCUCUGUUUGUGGCCUAGACCAAUAGACCACAAAAACUCGAUAGUUGGUUUCCUACUGCAGUUAUGCUCUAAGUGCUCUCCAAGAUAGCAAGACUCCAACUCUCGCUCCUGCAAUCACUGACUCACGCUUGCGAACCUUGUCUCUCGAUUGAUUUCUUCGAAGUUUGAAUCUUCGAUAGCCAUACACACUCAGGUCAGAAUGACGAAGCGGCGACCCCCACCUGUGCCACCUCAAUCUCAACCUCAAGGUCCACCGCAAUCUCAAACUCAAUGUACAGUGUGCAAAAAAUUAUGGCACAACAAAUAUGAGGCAUCAUGUGUUCAACACUUGUUCGGAAUCUCUUGUUAGGAAGGACAAAGGUGAUCCUAAGCAACCAUUGUUGGCAAAUAAUCCCAAAGGUGAGCUUGUUCCUUUGCGUUAUGACAAAGAUUAUGCUAGGAAGAAGUUGACAGAGAUGAUUUUCAUAGAUGAGCUCCCAUUCAAUUUGGUAGAGGGAGCCGGGUUUAAAGCUUUUUGUCAAGCUCUAAACCCAUAAUUUAUUGUUCCUUCUAACAAAAUUGUUGCUCGAGAUGUCAUGAGUUGUUUUCUACAGGAGAAAGCAAAGCUUAAGAGUAUUUUGUGUAUUGGUACAAGAGUGUCUCUCACUACAAACACUUGGACAUCUAUCCAAAAUAUUAAUUACAUGGUGAUCACUACACACUUUAUAGAUGAUGAGUGGAAUUUACACAAA